AAGCAUGAUGGGAGAAACAGCACUCUGGGGUUCAGCGCUUCCGUAUGUUCCUAAGCUCACUGAUUCAGGUCCAUUAAGUGCUCACAGUAGGUUUUUGAGAGUUCUUGCAUUCUUGAGUGAACUCCAACCUCCCCACCCCACCCCAACCCUAAAGUCAUAAAUUCCUGAGUGACAAUGAGCGGGAAGAGAGGGAUUGACCCAAAGAGUGGGCCUGUCUAAAAUCACGGCAAACUUCACAUCAGAACUGAAAGGCAAUGGGAAUGAUCUAACCCAAAUCCUUUCCUUCCGGGAAAUGGUGUCUUGAUCACUGCGGGCUGUAGGACAGAUCGGGCACCUUAAACAACAGAAAUGGGUUUCUCAAUUCCAGAGUCUGGGAUUCAAGGCACCAGAGAUCAGGCAAAUGGACGAUUCAUUUCCUGGUUCACAGGUGGUCAUCUCCUGAACUCUGGGAUGGCAGAGAGAGGGGUUGGGGGAAGCGAGCUACCUCUUCUCAGAGGAGAAUCAGCCUGUCCACCAGUUCUAGACACCCCCCCCCCCACACACACACACCCAAGGCCUCUCCUCCCAGCAGCAGCCCUGCGAGGCUUCGCCAUAGAAUAUUAGAGGGAAAGAAACUGUCGUUCACUUUCCAGCAGGAAAUGACAGGCAGGAAUGUUUGUCGUGUGUGAAUUAGCACACUUCAGUGCAAUGUCCCAAAACUCAGCAUGGUGUUAAGUAAGACAUAACUCUUCCCCUAUAUAAUAUUAUCUGUAUUAGUCAAGGUUCCCCAGGAAUAAAUGGAAAUAUGCUGUGUUUAUGUAUACCUGUACACACACACAUGUACACACAUGCACACACAUACACAUGCACUAUGUACUAUGUGAGAAAUAAGCUACUAGACCCUGAGAAUACACAAACAGCUCUACAGAGCUGGCCCACAGUGAAGAGCAUCCUACAUCCAGCAAGUGCU
rnacentral:lncRNA from 1 species